CUCUAAUUUCUCUCAGCCUCCAUUGAAUCCCUAAACCUAAGAUACCCAAACAAGUUUCCAUUGCCGCCUCUCUGCCUCUCUUUCUUACGCUUAGUUGCAAAGCUUACUCUCCUGCACUCACUCUCUCUCACACACUUAUCCUCUCGUCUUGUCUAUCUCUGCAUCACGCGAGUCACUAGAGCACAUGACAUCGGUGGAGCACUCUCUCUCUCACGACUCACGCGAGCUUCUGGAGCACAUAAUGGCGGUAUCUCCCCUGUUUGAGUUGAUGGAGCAUGCAGGUACAUCACGCUGGUAUCUCACUUUCCCUCAUGUAAGUCACGAUGGUUCUCCCCUGCUGGAAGCAAGAACAUCUCUGUGAGGUGAAUUUUUUUUAUACAGAUUACAUAUAAUAAAUAUAUAAAUAUAUAUUUAUGUGUAUAUGUAUUUAUAAAGUAUUUGAUUGUUUUAUGUUGUCCCUCCCUGCAUUUACUCUCUUCUACUCUCUUUCAUUCUUCGUUUUCUUUCUCUCUUUCUCAUUCUGUCUUGCAAGUGAUAGGCUUGGCGUCGACAGUAGUGUUCUGAGCUUGGAAAAGUUAGGCAUUUUUUUUUUUUUUUUCAGUUUUAAGGUUCAUUUUAAUUUGAUUAGUAUACCGAAAUAACUACUGGUUUGUGAUGAGGGUUUAAAUUUGACUACAAAUAUCAAUCUUUUUUCUUUGUAUUUGUUUCAUUUGUGAAGGAGGUCUUCAUCCGGGUCACUCUUUCUUAAUCUAUUAUCACCGUAACCUCCUGGUAAAACAAUUACAUUCAUAUAUAUAUAUAUAUACUUGCAUAUAUGAAUGUAUAUAUAUUGUUAUUUUUAGGAAGAUAUUCCAAACCCAGCUUCAAACUUUAUGGUGUUAUUAUGAUAUAGUUAUGUAAUGUUGAUUUUGACAAAAUUAUUAUUUCACUUUCUACUUUCUAGCAUCAGGCAUGGAAAGUUAUGCAUUAAGGGUCUUUUCACACAUUCUGAUAUAUAUAUAUAUAUAUCUGUGUUGGUUUGAUUUAUGCCUUUUUUUAUGGGAUAUAUAUACUUUUGUGUUUAUUUGGUUCUUCUUUUGUGAUGCAAAUCAGGUGUUUGUGAAAAUACCUCAAUGGACUAAGAUUGUGAAUUUUUUUGAGUAAUUCCAUUUAGAUAUAUUUAACAAUGAUGGAUCUUUCUCUAUUUUAAUGUUUAUAUUUAGUGUGUUUUCAAAUAAGAAUGAAUUAGGAAUGAAUGUUUGUAUGUAGGCUAAACUACUAAUAUUAUCAACCAAUAAUGCUUGACCAUUCAUUUUUGAAGAGGGAAAGGCAAAAUUGAUAACAAUAUUUUCACUGGAUUUUUUAAUAUUUUCUUUAGUUUAAUAUAUAUAUAUAUCAACAAACAACAAAAUUUAACUAUUUCAGGUUUCAAAUAUUAUAUAUUUGGAUUCUCCAAGUGGUGUUGGCUUUUCUUAUGCCAAAGAUCCAACCAAACACACAAUUGGAGAUUUACAAAUUGCUUCUAAUACAUACACUUUCCUCUUCAAGGUAGUUAAUUAGUUAUUUAGUCAUUAUAAAGACUAAUAAUUAAAAUGUUUAAUUUUAUAGAAAUAUUGAUAAAUUAAUGUAUUUUUUCUGCUAUUUUUACUAUUAGUGGUUUAAGCAAUUCCCAGAGUUCAUUUCAAACCCAUUUUACAUUGCUGAAGACUCUUUUGCUGGAAUAUAUGUACCCACACUUCAAGUUAUUAUAUUCUUGAAACGAAAAAUAGGCUAAUAGGUAUUAACUUGCUUCUGCUUCUGCUACUACUACUUCAAGUAUCACCGUUCCCUGUUUUGUAAGUUUAUUUACUUCUGUUACUAUUCUCUCUCUUCACAUGAAUGACUAGCUACUUGAGCCUUGACUAGCCAGGCUUGUAUUUUUGUGGGCAUAUAUAGUACAAUUAUUAUUUGUUAGUUGGGUUCUAUGUCAGACUUGGUGCAGCUUGAGUUUAUAUUUUUUCUUUUAACAACAAUUUUAGGCAUAAUAGCCAAUAUUUGCAUUUCAUUAAGGGUAUGUAACGGUGUUUUUGCUCCAUGUGCGGUGUAAGAUUGAUGAAGUGGAAAUAAUUUAUCCCAUAAUAAAAAUUGUUGAUGUCUUAGUACGCAUAUUUAGGAGAAUGUUGAUUGGCUUAGAAAAGAAAAUCUGCCAGAAAAAAAGGCAUGCCUCUUAUCUUUAAAUUAGUUAUUUUCUUGAGACAUAGUUUUAGAGUUUCAAAUAUUGUUGAAGAGUUUUCCCUAAAAGCCUUUCAUUAUUUAAUAACAAAGUACUUGUUUAGUUUUUUGAAGUUAGUAAUUUAAUCAUGCUUUGGCACAAUUACAUAAAUCCAAUUACUUCAACAAUUUUCUUGUUUCCAUGUAGUGCAUAGAAUGGAAUAAUGCCAAUUUUUCAUCAUAGUACUAAGUUAUUAGGAAUUCAGUGGGAAUAUGCUUGCUCUUAUAAACUCUAGUGAACUCUAGUGAAGAUUGAGUUGCAUUGAUUUGUAUUUCCAUGUUUGAUUGUGUUGUGCGUACCAAGACAUGAGAAAUCAAGUACAGCAAAGGAUAUCAUAUAUACUUUAAUCAGAAAGGUGGCCAUACUCACAUAUUUGAAUGUACAUCAAAGCUGGCCAUUUAAACUCAACUGUGCAAUUUUCAUUUCGAACUCCCAUGGGAACCAGGAAAUUGACAGAAUUGACUGUACGUGAUAAAAUGAUAUCCAUUCAUGGUUCUAUGUUUCUGAAAUUAUAUAUAAUUAUUAUAGAGGUACAAAUGAUGGUGAUUUUUUUUCUUUUUUUUUUCCACUCACUCUUUUUGUAAUAUAUAUACUAAGAGUUGUGGGCAACUUUUUUGCAUAUUGUUUUAUGCAGAUGAAACUCUCUAAUGAAUGGGAUUCAUUGACAAUGACUACUAAGAAACUAAGUUGUGAUAGUUAAACUUACUGAGAGGUAACACCUUUGUUCCCAUAUCUGAUGGGUUUUCUUCUGUUGGCACCUUCUCAAAUCUUUAUUUUCCCUUGAGUAACCUUUUCUCUAAUAAAAAGAUAAUUUAUGUCUAUAUGCUUUGUACGAAAAUGAUACAUUGCAUUUUUUCAUAAAUGUACUGUACUUUGACUAUCUAAAUAGAUUGAGUAUUGAUGAAUUUGUUUGAUGAGUUCCUCUUAAUUUGUUUUUAUGCAUACCAAUUGUUUGUUUAAUUAUUUUUCCUUAGUUUGAGUGCAUAAGGGUUUUAUUAUUGGUUCUAUAUAUCUAUAGCUAGCUCUUAAUAAUGAUCUCACGCUACUUAGUUCAUAAAAGUAUAUGAUUUAAUUAAUUAAUAAAGCAAACCUGAUAUGUCAUUGAUGAAGGGAGAUAUUUGUAAUGACUUGAAGAUUAUAUAGUAAGGUUAAAAUUUGCAGUACCCAAGCUUUUUUGCAUUUUCAUUUUGUUAUUUAUUUUGGCUUUAGUUAAUGGAUUUGCUUUGCAACUUUUCCCAUAAUUUUGGGUUUGUUGUGUUGGCUAUGUUUUUUUUUAUUAAUGAAGUGCUAAUGCUUUCUUCUUAGAGGCUGAUUGGUUCAUACCAAAAAAAAAAAUAUCUGGACUACAAAGUACAAUUGAACAUCAAACUUUGAGCCAUUUCAGCUUUUCUUUGUUAGGCUAAUUUUAUUUGAGAUAGUUUCCUGGUUGCAAGAGUUGUAUUUCCUUUUUUUUUUUUUAAAUUAGGACUCCUAAUUAAAGGCCAUUGAUGUUGAUAGUAUUAAUUGGUAUGUAAUUUUUCUUUCAUUUUAGUGGCUUCAUUGGAUUUUAAAUUGGAAGGAAACUUUAUUUCCAACAGUUUGCAAGAGGUAUCUUCUCUUACUUUUGUUUUUGUUAUAAUAUUAUGCAAAUGUUAGAAGAGUUUGAAUAUCUUAGAUAUUCAUCCAUAGUGAAGUAGGUCCUGAGAUUAUUAUUGUGUGUUGCGGGGAUAACGGAAGGUUGAGAACUUGUGUGUCUUAAUGAAGUAGGAUCUGAGAAAUUUGUGUGCUAUGGUGAGAUAAGGAAGAAAACUUGUGUGUUGUUUGAAUAUUUUGAAUUGAUAAUGGUAGAUGGUUGGUUGAUAAUAUGGGAGGAAUGUUUUAUGAUUUUAUGUAGAAUUAUCUAUUAUUAUCUUAUAAUUAACUUGUGUUUGGUUGAUUGGUUUGGUUAUUGGUAGAUUAAUUAGAUUGUUAAAAGCAUACACUUGUAUGUUUAUUUAUUUUGAUUUUUCUUUUAAUUUUUCAUAGACACAUAAGAAAAAUUAUGAAUGUAAUUUUACUUUCAUUUUAGUGGCUCAGUUAAAUUUCAAAUUGGAAGGAAACUUUAUUUGAAAUUGUUUGGAGUUUGAGUAAUUAAUUUUCAUUUAUGUUGAUGGACUAAUUUGAUGAUUCUUACUGUAUACACUACAACAAAAAGCUUUAAUAAUAGCAUUGAAUUUCUACAUUCCAUAGUGGGUAUUUUCAUAAAGGGUAGGAGCUGGUUGGUUAGUUUUAUUGAUCGAACAAAUACAUAAUACUGGUAUGAUUUUUAGGCAACUAUUUAGGGCUAGUUGGACAAAUACGAGAGGACAUUAGGAUUAGUGAUGAUGAUUUAUAAUGUGUUUGAGAUGCAAUUAUGGCUUUGAGUUUCUUUGAUUUCUUCAUUAAAAUAUUCAGGGAUAUUCCUUUUAAUUCUAAUUUUGUUGACCUGAGUUAGAAUACCAUUAUAUUAAUUUGGUAUCUUUCUUUGUUUGCUUAUAUAUAUUGUACAUUUAUUUAUAUAGAUUUAGGGAUAUAAUUGAUUUAAGUAUUUCUUGAAGGUUUUUUGAAGACCUUUGGUCAUAUGUAAGAGCAUCAACUUCGUCAUCAUAUAUAAUGUAUAUUAGUGAUUAAUUAAUAAACUCUGUUUUCCUUUUUGUUUACUGUUAAGAGUGUGUGAUAUUGGGUUUUCCAUUUGUUAGUUCUACAAAACUGGUAUUGGUACUUAAUGUCGUAUGACACUUCUGUUAUGGUGGAGAUUAUUAAGAAACAAUAUGUCUAUAGACAUAUGAUUAUAAUGCUUGCAUUAUUUAAUAUAUUUUUGCAAAUGUGGGUUAUUGAUACUAGUGGAAUUCUGUGAUAAGCUUCGGUAAUUUGCCUUCAAAUUCAUGCUUGUAGUUUUGGCGUUUUCUUUCUAUUUUUUAUUUAAUUGCCUGCAAAGUGUUUAAUAAAUUGCUUCAUUCAAUAUUAAGUUAUUUUUAAGAGUGACCAUAUCCCAUAUAUAAUUUGGAGUCUUUGCAAAUUCGUGGGUUUGAGGAACUUAAAAUGAUUGCAAAGUGAUUUGUUCUAACAUGUCAAAGGAAACUUAUAUAUUCUAUUAAUUAUAUAUAAUACCAAAUUAUUUUCUGAAUUUAUUUUAAGUUUACUUUUUUUGUUAGAAUUCAUAGAAUCAUAGAGGUUCAAUAAAAAAUUAGAAACUUGUCACUGACUUAAGUUACUACAUUGGAUUUUCAUAGCCAAAGAAUUUCUUUCAAACUUUUCUCACAUUUUUGGCCCCUAAAGCUAGUUAUCUUAACAGCUUUUGCUACUUUAUUUCUAUGAUUAUUAAUUUUAAAUUAAUUUUUUUGUCUUUGGUUUGAAUGGGACGAAUUGGAGUGCAUUGAUAAAAAGUACAAUGUGUUGCACCACCUCAAAUAAAUGUUUCUUAAUGGUUUUUCAACACUGUUUUUGUUGUUUUUAGACGCCUAGAGGACUGCAAUGAUGUUGUAAGCCACUUUAUUGAGUGGAUAUAUGUUGACUUUUACAAAAGGAUCACCGCUGUGAAAUUUGGAGGAGGUACUAUCUUUUCUCCGAUUUUUGUACUUAAGUAACUGAAUCAGGGAAUCUUAGGGGGUGAGGGAGUUCCUCCUAUGUUAAUAGGAAGAAAACGAAAGCUUUUAUUCCUCAAGAGUUAGCAUAUGAUCCAGAGCCUGCAUGAUGCUUCUGAGGAGUUAUGUCUACUAUAGAAGAUGCUAUAGGUAGUAUAAUUGCAUGGCCAGUUGAUAAAUUCAUAACUAGCUAAGCAAAUCAACCCACAACAAAGACAAGUGCACAAUUGAAGAUGAAUUGAAGGAUGGAGCAAAUUUCAUGGUUCACUUUUUAUGUAUCUUGCUAUGUUUUUGUUUUUCAUUUUUGAAUUAAAAGAUGUUCAAGAUUAUAGAACUUUAUUAUGUAUGCUUUCAAACUUAAGUUAGAACUAAG